UUGCGGGCCGGUCUGGAGCUCUCCACUUUGCAGCUCGAACCGCCGGACCAGACCCUUCCAUGAGACUAUGGUA